AUUGAACGCUGGCGGCAGGCUUAACACAUGCAAGUCGAACGAGUGGCGGACGGGUGAGUAAUGCUUGGGAAUCUAGCUUAUGGAGGGGGAUAACUACGGGAAACUGUAGCUAAUACCGCGUACCAUAGGAUGAGCCCAAGUGGGAUUAGGUAGUUGGUGAGGUAAAUGCUAACCGAGCCGACGAUAUCUAGCUGGUCUGAGAUGAUGACCAGCCACACUGGGACUGAGACACUGCCCAACUGCCUACGGGAGGCCGCAGUGGGGAAUAUUGCGCAAUGGGUGCAACCUGAUGCAGACAUGCCGCGAGAAUGAAGAAGGCCUUCGGGUUGUAAAGUUCUUUCGGUAGCGAGGCGUUAACUACAGAAGAAGCACCGGCUAACUCCGUGCCAGCAGCCGCGGUAAUAC
rnacentral:rRNA from 1 species